UACGGAGGGUGCAAGCGUUAUCCGGAUUCACUGGGUUUAAAGGGUGCGUAGGUGGGCAGGUAAGUCAGUGGUGAAAUCCCCGAGCUUAACUUGGGAACUGCCGUUGAUACUAUCUGUCUUGAAUAUCGUGGAGGUAAGCGGAAUAUGUCAUGUAGCGGUGAAAUGCUUAGAUAUGACAUAGAACACCAAUUGCGUAGGCAGCUUACUACACGAUCAUUGACGCUGAGGCACGAAAGCGUGGGGAGCAAACAGG
rnacentral:rRNA from 1 species